rfam:Sorghum bicolor cultivar BTx623 chromosome 7, whole genome shotgun sequence.
GUAGUCAGAUUCACAUCAAUCCAUAUAUAUUGAGGUGGGUUGAAGUGAAACUUGAACUAAAUUCCACCCCAAUCCACUUCAAUACAUGUGGAUUAAGGUGAAUACGACA